GAGUUUGAUCCUGGCUCAGGACGAACGCUGGCGGCGUGCUUAACACAUGCAAGUCGAGCGGAAAGGCCCUUCGGGGUGCUCGAGCGGCGAACGGGUGAGUAACACGUGAGCAACCUGCCCUGGACUUUGGGAUAACCCUCGGAAACGGGGGCUAAUACCGAAUAUUACAUUCUCUCGCAUGGGGGUUUGUGGAAAGUUUUUUCGGUCUGGGAUGGGCUCGCGGCCUAUCAGCUUGUUGGUGGGGUGAUGGCCUACCAAGGCGACGACGGGUAGCCGGCCUGAGAGGGCGACCGGCCACACUGGGACUGAGACACGGCCCAGACUCCUACGGGAGGCAGCAGUGGGGAAUAUUGCACAAUGGGCGGAAGCCUGAUGCAGCGACGCCGCGUGAGGGAUGACGGCC
rnacentral:rRNA from 1 species